UUUUGGCGACCUAGCAUGGGUAGCUAAAUUAUGAAUAUCAUUAAGACUGAUUAGCAUGGGAGUAACUAAUUUGUUUGCAAUCGCGGGCCCCCCAGAGGACAUCGUUAUGGGCCCUAAUAUUAUCUAGUGAAGAGUUUGCAGCUGCCUGCGACCAAAGACGGCAGCAGAAGGUCAUGCAUUUCCAGAAGAUCCUGCACCAAACCGCCUCUGAGAUGAAUGGGAACAGUUAAACUGGUACGUGCGGGAGGGAAAGGCAAAAGUGGCGCCCUCUCGUUCCCCGAGUCGAAACAGGAUGUUCUGCACGGUGC